rnacentral:rRNA from 1 species
UAGGGAAUCUUCGGCAAUGGACGAAAGUCUGACCGAGCAACGCCGCGUGAGUGAAGAAGGUUUUCGGAUCGUAAAACUCUGUUGUUAGAGAAGAACAAGGACGUUAGUAACUGAACGUCCCCUGACGGUAUCUAACCAGAAAGCCACGGCUAACUACGUGCCAGCAGCCGCGGUAAUACGUAGGUGGCAAGCGUUGUUCGGAUUUAUUGGGCGUAAAGCGAGCGCAGGCGGUUUCUUAAGUCGGAUGUGAAAGCCCCCGGCUCAACCGGGGAGGGUCAUUGGAAUCUGGUAGACUUGAGUACAGAGGAGGAGAGGGGAAUUCCAUGUGUAGCGGUGAUUUGCGUACAUAUAUUGAGGAACACCAGUGGCGAAGGCUGCUCUCUGGUCUGUAACUAACGCUGAGGCUCGAAAGCGUGGGGAGCAAACAGG